GAAACUGCAAGAGAAGAUUUCAUCACCAGAAUAAUAAUGGCAGGAUCAAAUUAUUCAAGAAUUAUCUAUGGGAGAAGCAUGACCAUUUAAUUUCCUAACACACUCCUUGUCACUACAUCCUCACAUGUAUAUAUUCAUCUGCUUAAGAGGAUCACUUUGGCUGCUAUACGGAAAACAGUCUGAGAGGCAGUGAGGUCAGUUAAGAGACUACUAUGAUAAUCCAGAUGAGAGGUCAGUGGCUUACGCUAGCUUGAAGGCAAGUGACAACUGGUAACUAAUUCAAAUUACGGUUCUAUUUUGAUAGUAUUAGCAAUAUGAUUUUCAAGUAAACCAAAUAGGAAAAGAACUCAAAAGUCAACAAUGACACAACAUAUACAUUUUUUUAAAAUUUAAACUGUUGGAAUAAUGCAUUUACCAUUAAUAAAAUGAGGAAGAAGUAAGUUUAAGAAUUUAUGAAGUUUCAGGAGCUCAGUUUUUAAUAUAUUAGUUUGAGAUAUCUACUGAAUAUCUAGAGUUUAAGUAUGACAUAGGAAAAAAAAAAAAAAAACUGGAGGUACUACAGAAAGUAUUUAAAACCCUGGAUUAACACCAGCUAGGAAAUGAGUAAAAACAGAAAAAAAAGCAGUCUUAUAUUGAGUCACUGGGUGUUCUACAUUUACAGCUACAGGUGGUGUACCUAAGUCAGCACAGGAGACUAUGGAAUGGAAAGAAAAGUAGGAAGAAAACCAGUGGAAUGUGUUCUUCAGAGCGAACCGACAAACUAUUUCAGGGAGGAGGAAGUGACGAAUAUUGUCAAAAGCUGCUGGCACAUCAAGUAACACAAAACUAAAAAUAAUAAUAAAAAGAUCACUGGAUUUGGCAACCAGAAGAUCUCUGGAGGACUGGAAAAGAGUUUUAGUAAAAGGAUGAAAUCCUGAACAGAGUGCAUUUAAAGAAAAAUGAAAUAAGACACAGAGGAAAAUAUAGGCAACUUUUUCAAGGUAUUCUGUUUUAAUUGCAUGGAAAAAGUUGGCAAACAGGACAUUUUAUUUUAAAGGAAAAAUAAGGACAUGUUUGUCAUAUAGACAGGGAUGGUUCAGUAGAGGAUGAACAACUGAUGAUUCAAAGAGAAAGCACUAUUAACAA